GAUGAACGCUGGCGGCGUGCUUAACACAUGCAAGUCGAACGAAGCACCCCUCCCGAAGCUUGACACAGCUUGCUGUAGAUUGUUUCAUUUGCGGUGACUGAGUGGCGGACGGGUGAGUAACGCGUGGGUAACCUGCCUCUUAGAGGGGGACAACAGUUGGACACGACUGCUAAUACCGCAUAGUAAGAAGAAUUCGCAUGUUUUCUUCUUGUUAGGUUUAUCGGUAUGAGAUGGAGCCGCGUCUGAUUAGCUAGUUGGUAAGGUAACGGCUUACCAAGGCGACGAUGAGUGGCCGGGUUGAGAGAGUGAACGGCCACAUUUGGACUGGGGCACGGCCCAAACUCCUACGGGAGGGAGGAGUGGAGAAUAUUGCGCAAUGGGGGAAACCCUGAUGCAGCGACGCCGGGUGAGUGAAGAAGUAGUUCGGUAUGUAAAGCUCUAUCAGCAGGGAAGAUAAUGACGGUACCUGACUAAGAAGCCCCGGCUAACUACGUG
rnacentral:rRNA from 1 species